rnacentral:rRNA from 1 species
AUAAUACAUGCAGUCGAGCGAACAGACAAGGAGCUUGCUCCUUUGACGUUAGCGGCGGACGGGUGAGUAACACGUGGGUAACCUACCUAUAAGACUGGGAUAACUUCGGGAAACCGGAGCUAAUACCGGAUAAUAUUUCGAACCGCAUGGUUCGAUAGUGAAAGAUGGUUUUGCUAUCACUUAUAGAUGGACCCGCGCCGUAUUAGCUAGUUGGUAAGGUAACGGCUUACCAAGGCGACGAUACGUAGCCGACCUGAGAGGGUGAUCGGCCACACUGGAACUGAGACACGGUCCAGACUCCUACGGGAGGCAGCAGUAGGGAAUCUUCCGCAAUGGGCGAAAGCCUGACGGAGCAACGCCGCGUGAGUGAUGAAGGUCUUCGGAUCGUAAAACUCUGUUAUUAGGGAAGAACAUACGUGUAAGUAACUAUGCACGUCUUGACGGUACCUAAUCAGAAAGCCACGGCUAACUACGUGCCAGCAGCCGCGGUAAUACGUAGGUGGCAAGCGUUAUCCGGAAUUAUUGGGCGUAAAGCGCGCGUAGGCGGUUUUUUAAGUCUGAUGUGAAAGCCCACGGCUCAACCGUGGAGGGUCAUUGGAAACUGGAAAACUUGAGUGCAGAAGAGGAAAGUGGAAUUCCAUGUGUAGCGGUGAAAUGCGCAGAGAUAUGGAGGAACACCAGUGGCGAAGGCGACUUUCUGGUCUGUAACUGACGCUGAUGUGCGAAAGCGUGGGGAUCAAACAGGAUUAGAUACCCUGGUAGUCCACGCCGUAAACGAUGAGUGCUAAGUGUUAGGGGGUGUCCGCCCCUUAGUGCUGCAGCUAACGCAUUAAGCACUCCGCCUGGGGAGUACGACCGCAAGGUUGAAACUCAAAGGAAUUGACGGGGGACCCGCACAAGCGGUGGAGCAUGUGGUUUGAUUCGAAGCA